AAUCUCAUCACAUCUUCGUAACACUGCGACAGUUAUAAAUUUAAUAAUGAUGAAUGCGCAUACGUUAAAACCUACGUCAGUUAUUAGUUACUUUUUUCGUCAUGCGGGACGAUCGUUUCGGGAGGCGAGUGGUAGUGGGACAGAUGAGUUAGUGAGAAAAAUAUCUUGCCUGCGUCGAAUUCCCAUAUCAUUCCUCCACACGAUCGUAUCCAUUUCCAGAACAAAGCUAAAAUAUUAGUUUAGCGAACGUCGGACAAAUUACUAAGCGAAUUUCACGGUAGUUUUUGUUCUUCUUGAUAUAAGAUGAAGCAAAAGGAAUAAUAAAUAGCACAGUCUCUAGCUGUCUUCAGCUUUUCUGAUCCCCUUGGAUUUUUCGUACAAAGGCUGCACGAUGAAAUACUUAACAGACACAAUAGCUUCGUUGUGACACAUGCAUAAAAUACGCCUAGUUGAAUGUGUGUAAAUGAGCUGUGUUAUCGAUGACUACACAGUCGUUCCCUACGUUAGAAGUACGAGAACCUUUCGAUAUGAAUUUGAAAGAACGAGUGUAAUUUAAUUUGCUCAUUUGGCAGGGAACCCUCUCUUUUGUUAAUUAAUAAAAGUAAUCGAAUGGAAAGGCUCUAGUAUGGUUAAGUGUACGGAGGCGUUUGUACAUGUAUAGUUUCGCUCAUUUUGUACAUACAUUGAUUCCGUAAGAGGCUGAGACUCGCAGUUCCUACGUACUAUAAAUAUAUAUAUUUAGCUAAGUGUUGGAACAUUUCGGGGAGAGAUAUACAGAAAGGGAAAGGGAGAAAUGGCGGGACAGGGAGCCCGUUUGCCAACGGCAGGUGAGCCCAGCUGCUCUGAGUGGAUUAAACUGAGGAGUUUCUUUCGCAACGAGAAUCAUUCGAAGGUUUGCUGCUGGCUGAUGCAUUACGAUUUAUCAAACUUUGGAGAAAGAAACUUCAUUCCACUAACUAUUGGCACGAACAGCUAUGGAUUAUUCCGCAAAAUAAACUGGCUUCCGGGCAAGGGAGUUGGCAGACAAGUUGCUAUCCUUCAGUCACGGAAACAGAGUUACUUGUUGGAAGGGAACGUAUGAGAAGCAUCCUCGUAGUCGCCCUGACUGAAGCGUCUUCCUGGCUGUGGGCGAAUAUGUCUUUGAAGAUGUACUCGUGUUGAAUUCAUGCAAUAGAUUUCUCGACAAGAUAUUUUUAUGUGACCGGGUUUAAUCUUAUGAUUAAACAUUGCAAGACGAUUUUAUAUAGAAACUGCUGAAUCCUCGGUGAAAUUCCACUGUUCUGAGCAUGCUCAACUAAUGCGUAUCAUAAAUGAGACACGGAUGCGGCUAAUACGACUGUUGAUCCGCAGUUGAUAUAUAAUCGGGAUUUCUGGGAAGACAAGAAAGCAACCAAUCAGUCAAGUCGAGUACUCAACACGUUAAGCUAUCUCAUGCGGUCAGAGCUUAUGUGAUAGAGUUCCCUUGGCAGAGAACGGGACACCACAAAGCUGAAAUCUGGGCUCCGCAUGAUUUACUCGUAAUCAGACAAGCUCACCUCGCUGUAUAAAUUGAGAACAUCGUUAUGAGGAUCAUUUCGAAACAUCGAUUCCGGAGAAAAACAGACGUUAUGGAAGAGCCUUCAAAGUCGAGUUUUGAAGAAUGAAUAUCGCGCAUGGUUUAGCAUGGCAACAUUGUAUCGCCUGUGCAAUAUAUCCUUAAGGGAGAAUAUCAGUGCGAAAAAAAGAGCUUGGGCGCUAAAGAGAUUCUGUAUGGUCCAGGAAUAGCAGACUCAUUGAUGCGUGCUGUAGCACUUAUGCUGUCAACCGUCGAGGAGUCUUUUUUUGAGACGCCAUUUUGCGACCAGUCUUCUGUUUAAUAAAAUGUACUAAAAAUAAAUAAAAAAUUCCUUGUAUA